CCUGCCUUGUAGCGGGGGAUAACUAUUGGAAACGAUAGCUAAUACCGCAUAACAAUGAAUGACUCAUGUCAUUUAUUUGAAAGGGGCAAUUGCUCCACUACAAGAUGGACCUGCGUUGUAUUAGCUAGUAGGUGAGGUAACGGCUCACCUAGGCGACGAUACAUAGCCGACCUGAGAGGGUGAUCGGCCACACUGGGACUGAGACACGGCCCAGACUCCUACGGGAGGCAGCAGUAGGGAAUCUUCGGCAAUGGGGGCAACCCUGACCGAGCAACGCCGCGUGAGUGAAGAAGGUUUUCGGAUCGUAAAGCUCUGUUGUAAGUCAAGAACGAGUGUGAGAGUGGAAAAUUCACGCUGUGACGGUAGCUUACCAGAAAGGACGGCUAAU
rnacentral:rRNA from 1 species